AAGAGAGAUCAUUUAGUAAGAAGGUGGGACACAGUUCGCUUCAAGUAUCCCCCCUCCCAAUGUCACCCGAGUUCACUCUUUUUCCACAGGAUAAAUUAAGAGAAGACCUCUCCACCAGCAUGUACCAGCUCUAUCUCAGCAACAUAUCCCAACAUGUGCAAGAUCCCACAAAGAACGACAGCCAGGGCGACCAGAACUGGACGCAGUACUCCAGAAGUGACCUCACCAAUGUCCUGUACAAUGUGGUGUGUAAAUUACCACAAGUUAAUCUUUACCCCAUCUCCUGGGAACAAGUCUGGUGAACCUUUGUUGUACUUCCUCGGAGAAUAAUGACUUUCCUGAGAUAAGGAGACCAAAACUGAACACAGGACUCCAGGAAAGUUCGGACGAAACAGUCCCAAACAAAAAUGCAAACGGAUGGUGAAUGGAAACUUUCACGACCAAACAGAAACUUACAAUAUCAACAUAAUGAGGUCUGGGGUGAUGAUGCCCACUGCUCUCGAAAGGCCUCAACUGUGACGGAGGGGUGUCUGUGAAAAGACCACCAGAUCUUCAGGUUUCCAACAAGAACCCUGUAUUCAUAUGGCACUUUUAAAACUGGGAGAACAUCACAGAUCGCCUCACAGGAGAGAACAUCAAACAGCCAUUGACCUCCGAGAUUCACAGGAUGACAUCACGGAAAGUCAGGAGAGUGGCAGGUGAGGGAGGAGGCCUCUGGCAGCAGUGACGCUAGUACAAACCGGAAACGCCCCCAGCCCAGCCCGGGAUCUGCUGUCGAGCAAGGAACAGGUCUGGGCUGACUCCCCCGGCCUAGACACGCAGGCUAGGCUGAGGCUCCGGGUCCAUGCCUAGGCCCAGACACCUGAAAGAGGAGAAAGGCGGUCUUGGCCUGGAAUCGCAGGCUAGGGCAAGGUUCCAGAUCCGCAUCUAGGCCCGGCGCCUGAAGGAAGAGAAAGGCGGUUUAAGCCCAGAAUCACAGGCUAGGCCGAGACUCCAGAUCUGCAUCUAGGCCCGUGCGCCUGAAGGAGGAGAAAGGCGGUCCAGGCCCUGAAUCACAGGCUAGGCCGAGACUCCAGAUCCGCAUCCAGGCCCGUGCGCCUGAAGGAGGAGAAAGGCGGUCCAGGCCCUGAAUCACAGGCUAGGCCGAGACUCCAGAUCCGCAUCUAGGCCCAGGCGCCUGAAGGAGGAGAAAGGCGGUCUAGGCCCGGAUUCACAGGCUAGGCCGAGGCUCCAGGUCUGCAUCUAGACCUGGGCGCCUGAAGGAAGAGAAGGCAAUUUAGUUCGGACAUGGCAGCCUUGUCCUGGCCUAGUCAUCUCGGUCCAGCAUGGCUGCCUUGUUUGGCGGAAGGUUCCGGCCCAGUGUUCCAAUGGCCGUGCGUGGUGCUCUGGGCCCAGAAUGGCAGUCUCGUCUCAGCUGCGUCUUCAGGGUAUUCCAUUGUUCCUUAAUCGGCCUUCCCCCGACCCAGGUGCAGUUAACUAAACAGUGAUGAACUUUGUCUUAAU